AUUGAACGCUGGCGGCAUGCCUUACACAUGCAAGUCGAACGGUAACAGGUCUUCGGAUGCUGACGAGUGGCGAACGGGUGAGUAAUACGUCGGAACGUGCCCGAGAGUGGGGGAUAACGAGGCGAAAGCUUUGCUAAUACCGCAUACGAUCUCAGGAUGAAAGCAGGGGACCGCAAGGCCUUGCGCUCACGGCGCGGCCCAUGGCAGAUUAGGUAGUUGGUGGGAUAAAAGCUUACCAAGCCGACGAUCUGUAGCUGGUCUGAGGGGACGACCAGCCACACUGGGACUGAGACACGGCCCAGACUCCUACGGGAGGCAGCAGUGGGGAAUUUUGGACAAUGGGCGCAAGCCUGAUCCAGCCAUGCCGCGUGCAGGAUGAAGGCCUUCGGGUUGUAAACUGCUUUUGUACGGAACGAAAAGACUCUGGUUAAUACCUGGGGUCCAUGACGGUACCGUAAGAAUAAGCACCGGCUAACUACGUGCCAGCCGCCGCAGUAACAC
rnacentral:rRNA from 1 species